rnacentral:rRNA from 1 species
GACGAACGCUGGCGGCGUGCUUAACACAUGCAAGUCGAACGGAAAGGCCCUGCUUUUGUGGGGUGCUCGAGUGGCGAACGGGUGAGUAACACGUGAGUAACCUGCCCUUGACUUUGGGAUAACUUCAGGAAACUGGGGCUAAUACCGGAUAGGAGCUCCUGCUGCAUGGUGGGGGUUGGAAAGUUUCGGCGGUUGGGGAUGGACUCGCGGCUUAUCAGCUUGUUGGUGGGGUAGUGGCUUACCAAGGCUUUGACGGGUAGCCGGCCUGAGAGGGUGACCAGCCACAUUGGGACUGAGAUACGGCCCAGACUCCUACGGGAGGCAGCAGUGGGGAAUAUUGCACAAUGGGCGGAAGCCUGAUGCAGCAACGCCGCGUGCGGGAUGACGGCCUUCGGGUUGUAAACCGCUUUCGCCUGUGACGAAGCGUGAGUGACGGUAAUGGGUAAAGAAGCACCGGCUAACUACGUGCCAGCAGCCGCGGUGAUACGUAGGGUGCGAGCGUUGUCCGGAUUUAUUGGGCGUAAAGGGCUCGUAGGUGGUUGAUCGCGUCGGAAGUGUAAUCUUGGGGCUUAACCCUGAGCGUGCUUUCGAUACGGGUUGACUUGAGGAAGGUAGGGGAGAAUGGAAUUCCUGGUGGAGCGGUGGAAUGCGCAGAUAUCAGGAGGAACACCAGUGGCGAAGGCGGUUCUCUGGGCCUUUCCUGACGCUGAGGAGCGAAAGCGUGGGGAGCGAACAGGCUUAGAUACCCUGGUAGUCCACGCUGUAAACGGUGGGUACUAGGUGUGGGGUCCAUUCCACGGGUUCCGUGCCGUAGCUAACGCUUUAAGUACCCCGCCUGGGGAGUACGGCCGCAAGGCUAAAACUCAAAGGAAUUGACGGGGCCCCGCACAAGCGGCGGAGCAUGCGGAUUAAUUCGAUGCAACGCGUAGAACCUUACCUGGGUUUGACAUGGAUCGGGAGCGCUCAGAGAUGGGUGUGCCUCUUUUGGGGUCGGUUCACAGGUGGUGCAUGGCUGUCGUCAGCUCGUGUCGUGAGAUGUUGGGUUAAGUCCCGCAACGAGCGCAACCCUUGUUCACUGUUGCCAGCACGUUAUGGUGGGGACUCAGUGGAGACCGCCGGGGUCAACUCGGAGGAAGGUGGGGAUGACGUCAAGUCAUCAUGCCCCUUAUGUCCAGGGCUUCACGCAUGCUACAAUGGCUGGUACAGAGAGUGGCGAGCCUGUGAGGGUGAGCGAAUCUCGGAAAGCCGGUCUCAGUUCGGAUUGGGGUCUGCAACUCGACCUCAUGAAGUCGGAGUCGCUAGUAAUCGCAGAUCAGCAACGCUGCGGUGAAUACGUUCCCGGGGCU